rnacentral:rRNA from 1 species
UACGAAGGGUGCUAGCGUUGUUCGGAAUCACUGGGCGUAAAGCGCGCGUAGGCGGUUAUUCAAGUCAGGGGUGAAAUCCUGAGGCUCAACCUCAGAAUUGCCUUUGAAACUGUAUAACUAGAGUGUCGGAGGGGAUAGCGGAAUUGCUAAUGUAGCGGUGAAAUGCGUAGAUAUUAGCAGGAACACCGGUGGCGAAGGCGGCUAUCUGGACGACAACUGACGCUGAGGCGCGAAAGCGCGGGGAUCAAACAGG